UAAAACGUAGAGGAUCAAAACAAGUCCUGUA
rnacentral:piRNA from 1 species